rnacentral:lncRNA from 1 species
ACUCCCUUUUGUAGAGCCCGAGAGCCAGCAGGUCUUAAAGGGGCAGUACAGCGCUGGUAGCUCCUUUUCGGGCUGGGGAAAGUGGAGACGCACGGGAGAGUAUUAUAGUUUGGUUUAACUCCCUACUUUUCUAAAUAACUGCAGAAGAGUUUGCGCUCCCGGACAGAAAUAUUUAAAUAUUGCCAGCAAGCCACUGAAUCCUAUUCAUUAGCCUUUGGCUUUGCGUAUCAACAUUUU